CUAGAGUACUACAUAACAGAAGUAUUACCCAGACUUGUAAAAUCAAAAGCUACUGGGAUAAUUGUUAACGGAGGUAAUUGUCUUAAGUCAAUUCUCCCUAUAAACCCGGAGGAAUUUCAGAAGCUUAGAUGCAAGGAUGGUAAAUUGCUAAUGGAAGUUGCUGCAUCCAGAGGAUGGAUGAUAUGCGUGGAGAUUCUUUUGCAUGUAACAAUUUCUUUGGAGAAUUUUGCAAACUUGAGCAUUCCUCAAAUGUUUAAACAAGAAGCAUGCAUUCCUGCUCUCCAAUUUUUAUUUGAUUAUAUUGCUGGAUUUGAUUAUUGAAAUGGUAGGGCGCGCAUCACGCGCCGAAUGUUCUAGUAAAUACCAAUAGCAGAGAUUCCAAUGAGUUAAUACGGUCAUAAAACCACAUCUUAUGGUCCCAAAAGCAUACCAUAGAUCACAGUUGAUCUAGAUUUGAUUAUAUGGUUAUAAAAAGCUAUUCCAUAAAUCACAGUCAAUCUAGUUUCUAAUAUCGAAUCUACUUAGAUUCCACUACAUUUAGUACACUUGUUGUAGAUUCCACAUUGCCACUUCUAAAAAUAAAGUAUGGCAUCUUCAAAUGAUCAGAUCGAGGUGCUGUUUGUUUCCACGGGCUAAAGUUUAGCCCGUCACAUAAAAAAGAAUCAUACUAUUUAGGAGUAUUAAAUAAAAUAUGUUUAUAAAUUUUUUUGACAGAUGAGUG